UACGGAGGGUGCAAGCGUUAUCCGGAUUUACUGGGUUUAAAGGGUGCGUAGGCGGUUCUUUAAGUCAGUGGUGAAAACUUCGAGCUUAACUCGAAAACUGCCAUUGAUACUAUUGAUCUUGAAUUUAGUUGAGGUUGGCGGAAUGUGUCGUGUAGCGGUGAAAUGCUUAGAUAUGACACAGAACACCGAUUGCGAAGGCAGCUGGCUAAACUAAAAUUGACGCUGAGGCACGAAAGUGUGGGGAUCAAACAGG
rnacentral:rRNA from 1 species